rnacentral:rRNA from 1 species
CCUACGUGAGGCAGCAGUGGGGGAUAUUGCACAAUGGGGGAAACCCUGAGGCAGCGACGCCGCGUGUGGGAAGACGGUCCUCUGGAUUGUAAACCACUGUCCCCAGGGACGAAGAUGACGGAACCUGGGGAGGAAGCUCCGGCUAACUACGUGCCAGCAGCCGCGGUAAUACGUAGGGAGCGAGCGUUGUCCGGAAUUACUGGGUGUAAAGGGGGCGUAGGCGGGGAUGCAAGUUGGGUGUCAAAACUACCGGCUCAACUGGUAGUCGCACUCAAAACGGCUGCUCUUGAGUGAAGUAGAGGCAGGCGGAAUUCCUAGUGUAGCGGUGAAAUGCGUAGAUAUUAGGAGGAACACCAGUGGCGAAGGCGGCCUGCUGGGCUUUUACUGACGCUGAGGCUCGAAAGUGUGGGGAGCAAACAGGAUUAGAUACCCCUGUAGUC